UCAGUAUAGGAGGUCAGCCUGCCCAGUGACCACAAGUUCAACGGCCGCGGUAUUUUGACCGUGCAAAGGUAGCGCAAUCACUUGUCUUUUAAAUAAAGACCUGUAUGAACGGCUAAACGAGGGCUUGACUGUCUCCCUUUUCAAGUCAGUGAAAUUGAUCUAUCCGUGCAGAAGCGGGUAUAACAAUACAAGACGAGAAGACCCUUUGGAGCUUAAGGUACAAAACUCAACCACGUCAAGCAACUUAACAAAAAGUAAAAACUUUGUGAAGCAUGAGAUUUUACCUUCGGUUGGGGCGACCACGGAGGAAAAUAAAGCCUCCAAGUGGACCGGGACAAACUCCUAAAACCAAGAGAAACAUCUCUAAGCCACAGAACAUCUGACCAAACAUGAUCCGGCCACCAGGACCGAUCAACGAACCAAGUUACCCUAGGGAUAACAGCGCAAUCCUCUCCCAGAGUCCAUAUCGACGAGAGGGUUUACGACCUCGAUGUUGGAUCAGGACAUCCUAAUGGUGCAGCCGCUAUUAAGGGUUCGUUUGUUCAACGAUUAAAGUCCUACGUGAUCUGAGUUCAGACCGG
rnacentral:rRNA from 1 species